GGUAAAUCAUUCCUUGCCUGAUCUACUGUUAGAUGACCAUGACACUUCUCAAUAUUCAGCUUGACUGAUCACUCUGCAAGCGUUGUCAGUUCAGAUUUUCUGGAAAUUGUUGAUUUUGAUUACCGUUCAUCCUAAUGGGUAAAACCCUUUUCUUCAGGGGUCGGGGAAGUUCCCAACUCUCUUAUUCUCGAUCUCCACGGUAUAGGCGGUCCUAUUCUCGUUCACCGCGGUAUGCUCGGGCUUAUUCUCCAAGCCCUGACUACUAUUCACCACCUCCUAAGAGAAGAUAUUACUCAAGGUAGUGGCAACAAUGAUUCCUAGCUUAGCAAUAUGGUUUUCCUUUUGACGGUAGUUGGACAAAUAUAUAACCUGUACGGUACUGAUGUCCGUGUAUGCUCUCUGGUACAGAGAGAGGUCUUACUCAAGAUCUCCUUAUGGCUCUAGGAGCAGAAGCCCAGUAAGGAGCAGGAGCUUCGAUGAUGAUGGCUAUUACACUAGAUAAUAAGCUCUCUGUAGUGGUGUUGCUGUGUUAUCAUUGUAUUGCCACUGUAGUCUUUUUACUAAACUCGCUGGGUUUUGGACUUGUGGAGCACCUUGUGAUAUUGCCGAUAGUUGGAGAUCAGAUUCCAUUUGUUCAGUAAAUGAGCCCGUGCUUGGUUGUGCGUGACUGACUUUUCUUCAUUGUAAAUUUCGUGCUCGUAUAUUGACCUGUUUGUUGAAGAUCUCUAAAAUCGUGAGCUAUUCAUUAUUGUAGCUAUGGCCAGUAUUGACGUAAUUACUGGGGAGGAUGUUAAUAUUUUGCACUUCAUACGUUGAUUCGGUCAUUUGAUUGAAAAAUAGUUAAUGUUUGUGAAGUGAUUGAAUAAUAGCUAUUAUUUGUUGAGAAAAAAUUUGGAUAAAAAUGCCUUUAACUGAAACGAAAAAGAUACAGCAUGUGAUAUGGAGCUCCUACAUAUAUAUCUCUGAUAUAUUAUUUUGGAAUUUUAGUAUAUUAUGAAAUUUAGCGUACUUAUGGUUUCAUCUAAAAAGUUUGAAUGUAUGUUGGAUUUUUUCGGACUUUAGAAAGGGAUAUUUUUAUUUAAAUUUUAUUUUUGCGUGAAAAAGUGGAACAAUUUUGCUUAAUUUUAAAAGGGAAAUUUUCGUUCAUAUACUAUAUAGAAAAUUAUAUUAUUAAAUAUGUUUUACAGUUUGUAUAUUAUUCUUAUUUAGGCAUGUUAAAAUUGGAGAAUUAAAUAUUUUUCAAGACCUUUGAUAAUGCGAAUUACGCACAUUUCAUAAUUAUCGUCGACUUCUCUUUGAUCUUUACAAUGUAUUUCAAGAUUUUUAAUACUAUAUUUUUGUGGUACACUUUGUUUUUGAAAUUCUCUCUACA
rnacentral:lncRNA from 1 species